GAUUGCAAAACAGAGAUGCCAGCACUCGAAUUCUAGCGGUUAGAAUUCGAUCAGUUUUCGGCUCGAUUUCCAUCCGCCUGCUCGAUUGCUCGAAAACAGACGAUACUUUUUGCAGUGCUGCGAUGAACAAAACGAAACACGAGCAGUUUUCAAUCGCAGCAAUCCGGUGGCGUGUUUUGUUUUGGCGCGUGUUUGGUGUGAAAUUUGUCGCAGUUAUUUUCGCUUGUAUAUUUCCGCUGUUUCUGAAUUCAGAAAUGCUUUGAGCGCUUAGAAGAAGCCAUUGUCCGGCGAUAAUUUGAUGACAAACAAGAAAACAUCGACCCAUGAAAACGAAGCUUCCGAGGAAAUGUCCACACGGUACGGGCUCUGGUGGAAUGUCAUCCCGGACAUCGUAUCCGGAUCCGCUUUAAGGUGGUGGCACACAAUGCAAGUGGCCCCGUACGCUUCCAGAAAACCGUAUAAAAUUGACCAGAAAACUUGUAAAUGGCCACACACAGCACCGCAACAAUCGCACCGUGGCCUAUAACAACUUAGCGGUAAAACUCGACGAAGUACGGCAGAUGCAAGGACAAACUCCUUUUUCCGACCGAAAAAACACCGGAGCAGUACCAGCGCGUCUUGCCUUGCGUGGACUAUAGGCUUACCAUUUCUGUAAAUCAAGACGAAGCGUAUAUUUUGUCCAAGCCAGUCGGAAUACUCGGGGCUAGUGUGCCGAUUGCUCUGCUGCCAACUUAACAGCUGCCCUCAUAUUCUCUAGUCAUAGUGAACACACUUCCGACAUUGGAGAUAUAUCCUAUUGCAGCAAUUCUGCCUAUCAGCAACCAGAAGAACCCUCCGUGGAUAGUUUGAUCUGUUGAGACGAUCAAGUUUCUAAAGUGAGCCGAACUUUAGUUGUUGCAGAUGUUUAUCAGUGAUUGCUUAGAAGGUACUUUGAUCUGUGGUACUACUGCAAUUGACCUAAAUAAUUUCGAGAUUCUGCAUUGGUGGAAUGAAUUUUUGAAACGAUGUGCUAGAGAGCAAUGUAUGUACCCAAGUAGAAAUCCUGCGCUGGCCACAUGUGUUGGAAAAUUUAUUCGAUAACUUUUUUGCUAAACCCAUCUGUUUUGUGAACGAAUAUUUAACAUGAAGGUAACUUUCAAGCAUGUUCUUAAUCCACAUGCGAAAGACCGAACAAAACUUCACAUAGAUUUUCAUUGAAAAAGGUAAACAUAGACGUUCAUUCAAAUUUUUCAACAGAAUCCUGCAUUGAGCUUUAAUUGUUCUUGUUUUUAUUUUAAAUUCCAAGGGUAGAAGCGGCUUUUAAGCUAGGUCGAUAUUUAACUUUUAAACAGUUUUGGCUGAAAGAAGAAAUCAAGUAGAGCAUUAAGAUUGCUAUCGCAGAAUUUUUUGACAAACUCACCUUUGGCAGCUUUUUUUUAAACUUCCGGAGAACUCGCGCAAUAUUUUUACAGUUCAUCUUGUUGAGGGGAUGCGCAAUCACUUAGAGUACUUGCCUACGCUGGGGGAAACUUUUAUUUCAACCGGUGGUAAUUUUUCAUAUCGAGUACAUAAUCGCGACGUUAUGUGAGGAUUUUUUUUCCAAUCAAACUCAUAAUGCGUUGGCGAAUAAGCGGUGCACUGCAGUGAUAUUGAGAAUGAGAUGUGAGAAAUUAAGAAACUAAGACCGUUAGCAUGUCUUACUGCGUAGCUUCUAAAACUUCGAAACGAUGAGUUUCUAAAAAAAACCAGUCAUUCACCUUGAAAUCAAACGGAUUUAAAAUAUAAUUUUAAAAAAUAAUUACAAUUAAUUGAAAUUUAAUUAUUUCUCUAUGAACACUGCUUUAUUUGAAACAAACUUGAAUUUUUCAACAAAAUGUAGCAUCAUCUGUUAAAAAAUGAUAAACCCAUUUUAUUUUAGCAAUAUCGACGCCCAUGGCGAACAUCCUCUCUCAAUUUUAUCUGUUUUGUUUUGGUUUGCGUUUUCUGCAUUUCUCGCCUGCGCUUUCGUUACGUCGUAUGACCAUAAUAAUAAUUCACAGAA